rnacentral:rRNA from 1 species
UACGUAGGUGGCAAGCGUUGUCCGGAAUUAUUGGGCGUAAAGCGCGCGCAGGUGGUCCUUUAAGUCUGAUGUGAAAGCCCACGGCUCAACCGUGGAGGGUCAUUGGAAACUGGGGGACUUGAGUGCAGAAGAGGAUAGUGGAAUUCCAAGUGUAGCGGUGAAAUGCGUAGAGAUUUGGAGGAACACCAGUGGCGAAGGCGACUAUCUGGUCUGUAACUGACACUGAGGUGCGAAAGCGUGGGGAGCAAACAGG